rnacentral:rRNA from 1 species
UAGUCCACGCCGUAAACGAUGUCUACUAGCCGUUGGGGUACUUGAGACCUUAGUGGCGCAGCUAACGCACUAAGUAGACCGCCUGGGGAGUACGGCCGCAAGGUUAAAACUCAAAUGAAUUGACGGGGGCCCGCACAAGCGGUGGAGCAUGUGGUUUAAUUCGAUGCAACGCGAAGAACCUUACCAGGUCUUGACAUCCAGAGAACUUUCCAGAGAUGGAUUGGUGCCUUCGGGAGCUCUGUGACAGGUGCUGCAUGGCUGUCGUCAGUUCGUGCCGUGAGGUGUUGGGUUAAGUCCCGCAACGAACGCAACCCUUGUGUUUAGUUGCCAUCAGGUAAUGCUGGGCACUCUAGACAGACUGCCUGUAUCAAGCAGGAGGAAGGUGGGGAUGACGUCAAGUCAGUAUGGCCCUUACGCCCUGGGCUGCACACGUGCUACAAUGGUCGGUACAAAGGGAAGCAAUAUCGCGAGGUGGAGCUAAUCCUGAAAGCGGCCCCAGUUCGG